AAGACUAUACUUUCAGGGAUCAGUUUUAUAGUCCAUUACUAGUAGAGCACCCAAAACCAUGAGGAGGAGACGUAGCAUUCUCUCCUGAGCAUGAAGACAGCUCUUAGUGUUGCUUCCUGCAGCUUCUACUUGUCAUUGAUGAUCAUUCUUCUCUUCCUGUGGAAGAGUGGGAGGCAGAGAAUGCAGUCUGAGUGGG
rnacentral:snoRNA from 1 species